GCGCUCAUAGUGUAGUGGUUAUCACAUUCGCUUUACACGCGAAAGGGCCCCAGUUCGAUCCUGGGUGAAC
rnacentral:tRNA from 1 species